rnacentral:rRNA from 1 species
CAGUUAAGAAUCUUGCGCAAUGGGCGAAGCUGACGCAGCGACGCGCGGUGGACGAUGAAGUCUUCGGAUUGUUAAAGUCCAGUAAGCAGGGACGAAUAAGCAGCGGGUAUAUUCGCUGUGAUGACGGUACCUGCCUAGAGCCCCGGGCUAACUACGUGCCAGCAGCCGCGGUAAUACGUAUGGGGCGAGCGUUGUUCGGAAUUAUUGGGCGUAAAGGGCGUGUAGGCGGGGAAUUAAGUUAGGUGUGAAAGCCAUGGGCUCAACUCAUGAAUUGCAUCUAAUACUGAUUCUCUUGAGUUAGGAGAGGAGAGCGGAAUUCCCGGUGUAGCGGUGAAAUGCGUAGAUAUCGGGAAGAACACCAGUGGCGAAGGCGGCUUUCUGGCCCAUAACUGACGCUGAGGCGCGAAAGCGUGGGGAGCGAACGGGAUUAGAUACCCCGGUAGUCCACGCUGUAAACGUUGUAUACUAGGUGUUAGUGGUUUAACUGCUAGUGCCGUAGUUAACGCAUUAAGUAUACCGCCUGGGGAGUACGCCCGCAAGGGUGAAACUCAAAGAAAUUGACGGGGGCCCGCACAAGCGGUGGAGCAUGUGGUUUAAUUCGACGAUACGCGAAGAACCUUACCUGGGCUUGAACUGUAUUUGACAGGUGUAGAGAUACACCCUCCUUCGGGCAGAUAUAGAGGUGCUGCAUGGUUGUCGUCAGCUCGUGUUGUGAGAUGUUGGGUUAAGUCCCGCAACGAGCGCAACCCCUACCCCUUGUUGCUACCAGGUAAUGCUGGGCACUCUAGGGGAACUGCCGGUGAUAAACCGGAGGAAGGUGGGGAUGACGUCAAAUCAGCACGGCCCUUAUGUCCAGGGCUACACACGUGCUACAAUGGCCGGUACAAUGAGUUGCGAUACCGCGAGGUGGAGCCAAUCUCAAAAAACCGGUCCCAGUUCGGAUUGCAGUCUGCAACUCGACUGCAUGAAGUUGGAAUCGCUAGUAAUCGUGGAUCAGCACGCCACGGUGAAUACGUUCCCGGGCCUUGUACACACCGCCCGUCACACCAUCCGAGUCGGCAGCGCCCAAAGUGGCUGAUCUAACCCCU